CCCGACUGCUAUUUGGGUGAGGAUAAGCCAUGCGAGUUGAAUGGGAUACCUAAAUUUCCCAUGGCAAACUGCUCAGUAACACAUGAUCAACUUACCCUAUGGAGAAAAAUACCCUCGGGAAACUGAGGAUAAUGUUUCAUAGUUGAAAAGGCUUGGAAAAGUUUUUCAAUGAAAGGGAUAAGAAAAAUGGUUCUUAUCUGCUAUAGGAUAGGAUCGUGGUCGAUUAUGGUUGUUGGUGAGGUAACGGCUCACCAAGCCGAUAAUCGAUAGGGGCCGUGAGAGCGGGAGCCCCGAGAUGGGUACUGAGACAACGACCCAGGCCUUACGAGGCGCAGCAGGCGCGGAACCUCCGCAAUACACGAAAGUGUGACGGGAUUACCCAAAGUGUUCAUUUAUGAACUGUGGUAGGUGAGUAAUAUCCCCUACUAGAAAGGAGAGGGCAAGGCUGGUGCCAGCCGCCGCGGUAAAACCAGCUCUUCAAGUGGUCGGGAUAAUUAUUGGGCUUAAAGUGUCCGUAGCCGGUUUAGUAAGAUCCUGGUAAAAUCGGGUAGCUUAACUAUCCGCAUGCUAGGAAUACUGCUAUACUAGAGGGCGGGAGAGGUCUGAGGUACUACAGGGGUAGGGGUGAAAUCUUAUAAUCCUUGUAGGACCACCAGUGGCGAAGGCGUCAGACCGGAACGCGCCUGACGGUGAGGGACGAAAGCCAGGGGAGCGAACCGGAUUAGAUACGUCGGUGCUAGUCAAAUUUUAGAAAGACUAACAUCAUGCUAAAAACCCGGGUAGUCCUGGCCGUAAACGAUGCAUACUAGGUGAUGGUACGGCCAUGAGCCGUGUCAGUGC
rnacentral:rRNA from 1 species